CCUACGGGAGGCAGCAGUAGGGAAUCUUCCGCAAUGGACGAAAGUCUGACGGAGCAAUGCCGCGUGAGUGAAGAAGGUUUUCGGAUCGUAAAACUCUGUUGUUAGAGAAGAACAAGGAUGAGAGUAACUGCUCAUCCCCUGACGGUAUCUAACCAGAAAGCCACGGCUAACUACGUGCCAGCAGCCGCGGUAAUACGUAGGUGGCAUGCGUUGUCCGGAGUUAUUGGGCGUGGUGCGAGCGCAGUGGGGUGAAAGCCCCCGGCUCAACCGGGGAGGGUCAUUGGAAACUGGAGAACUUGAGUGCAGAAGAGGAGAGUGGAAUUCCACGUGUAGCGGUGAAAUGCGUAGAUAUGUGGAGGAACACCAGUGGCGAAGGCGACUCUCUGGUCUGUAACUGACGCUGAGGCUCGAAAGCGUGGGGAGCAAACAGGAUUAGAUACCCCAGUAGUC
rnacentral:rRNA from 1 species